GGAAAAGUCUUGUUUAGUCUAUGAAAACAAUGCUGCAGGCAUUUUCUAACAAUACCCCAGAAUGCAUUACUCAGUGAGAGAUCUAUUUAAAUUAGAGGACAAUGAGGUAUAAGAGCUAACUGCAAAGGAUGGUCACAGUUAGUUUUGACUUAGCAUCUUUCUAACUAUUAGAGGAAUUAAAUUCCUGAACAAUGGGAGCAAUGAGGAAAAAUAAUUCACCUGGCUUUAAAAAAGAGUUAGACCACUGCAUGUAAGGGACUACAUACACAGUUGCCUGCAACAGCAGGAGCUUGUGUUCCAGGAUGUAUUUGUGGAAAUGAGAGAAAAACCAAGAUCAAGAAGACAAGUGCUACUUAAGUUACUGAAGAUACGCCUUGCAGCAAUACUUGAAUUAUUAUGUUUGCUCUAACCUGAAACUUCUUCACUAAAUCAGGAAAUAAGGACUCAAAGAAUCUUCUUUUUUAUCCACACACAGCAGCUCUGCUUCAUUUUCUAUAAUCACUGAGAAGCUUUACUGGCAACGAAUUAGAAGAGCAUGACCUCCUUGCAGCCUGGCUCAGCCCAAGAAAAGUGAAAGACAGCAAGACAGCAGCCAUGAGGGACAGAGGGAGAGAUGUCUGAAAAGUCCAUCUGCUUCCUUGCACAACCUUGAUUUCCAAUAUACUGAGUCACAGAUCAAAUGAAAGAAGUUCCUGGUAGACCUGCUGCCUCAGCCCACUUACAACAGGGAGAAGACUAAUUGCACUCUGCAAAGGACCCGCAGAAACUCCUGUAAGAGACAUCUUCUGUGAGAAAAGUACUUCCUGGUGGCCCACAGAUACUGUCCAGGCUACAGACUCUUCCCUCUUCCAUUUCCAACACGUAGCACGUACAAAGACCAGAAGUCAUCCUCCAGCAAGGACUGCUUUCUCCAAAGGUCAAGGUAAAAUGUCCCUCUUCUUCGGUAUUUGUGACUGAUUGGAGUGAGAGACAGAGGUGAAGUCCAGACUCAGUGACCCACAGAUGCUUUGGAACUGCUGGCUGCAGCCAAGUAUUCAUUUUGGUGAAGUCCAAAUGCACACCAGGUUCCCCCCUCUCUCAAACACAUCCAGCUCUCUGGUUUCACAGCAAGGCCACUUGGACACACACCUGGAAGAAAACAGCUAGACCAAUAUCAAGGGGAACUUAAACUAGCUUAUUU
ensembl:lncRNA